GAUGAAGAACGUAGCGAAAUGCGAUACGUAGUGUGAAUUUCAGAAUUCAGUGAAUCAUCGAAUCUUUGAACGCACAUUGCACCUCUCGGUAUUCCGGGAGGUAUGCCUGUUCGAGCGUCAUUUUUACCCUCAAGCUCUGCUUGGUGUUGGGUGUUUGUUCCGCCUCUGUGUGUGAACUCGCCUCAAAACAAUUGGCAGCCGGCGUACUUGUUUCGGAGCGCAGCACAUUUUGCGAUCCAGAUCAACGUACAGCGGCAUCCAAGAAGCCUUAUUUAACGCUCUUGACCUCGGAUCAGGUAGGGAUACCCGCUGAACUUAAGCAUAUCAAUAAGCGGAGGA
rnacentral:misc_RNA from 1 species